AUUGCUUUGUGGCCUUUUGACUAAGAUCAAGUUUAGUAUCUGUUUUUAUGAUUUUAAUAUCUUACCUGUUCUUUAUUGGAGGACAACAUGUUAAAUUAAUUUUUGGAGCAGGGUAUUGGAAUUGGGGCUUGCUCCGUCCACUCCAUGAAUCAACCUGGUAUUACAGUAUCUCCAGGAAUGGUGCCAAAAAA